GCGACGCCGCGUGAACGAUGAAGUCUUUCGGGAUGUAAAGUUCUGUCAGCAGGGAAAAUUAUGAUGGUACCUGCAGAGGAAGCACCGGCAAACUAUGUGCCAGCAGCCGCGGUAAUACAUAGGGUGCAAGCGUUGUCCGGAUUUACUGGGCGUAAAGAGCGUGUAGGCGGUAAUAUAAGUCAAACUUCAAAUGCUGAGGCUCAACUUCAGUUUGGGUUUGAUACUAUUUUGCUAGAGAUUGGGAGAGGAAAGUAGAACUAACAGUGUAGCGGUGAAAUGCGUAAAUAUUGUUAGGAAUACCCGUGGCGAAGGCGGCUUUCUGGACCAAUUCUGACGCUGAGACGCGAGAGCGUGGGGAUCAAACGGGAUUAGAUACCCUGGUAGUCCACGCUGUAAACGAUGUACAUUAGGUAUAGGGGGUAUCGACCCCUUCUGUGCCGAAGCUAACGCGUUAAAUGUACCGCCUGGGAGUACGAUCGCAAGAUUAAAACUCAAAGGAAUUGACGGGGGCCCGCACAAGCAGUGGAUCAUGUGGUUUAAUUCGACGAUACACGAAAAACCUUACCAAAGUUUGACAUCCGCCAGAUUUCCGUGGAAGCAUGGAAUGGCCCGCAAGGGAAUGGCGAGACAGGUGGUGCAUGGUUGUCGUCAGCUCGUGUCGUGAGAUGUUAGGCUAAGUCCUGCAACGAGCGCAACCCUCGUGCUGUGUUGCUACAUUAAGUUGAGCACUCUCAGCAGACUGCCCGUGGUAAACGGGAGGAAGGUGGGGAUGACGUCAAAUCAUCAUGCCCUUUAUGCUCUGGGCCACACACAUGAUACAAUGGUCGGUACAAAGGGAAGCGAAGCCGCAAGGUGAAGCUAAUCUCAAAAAACCGACCUCAGUUCAGAUUGAAGGCUGCAACUCGCCUUCAUGAAGCCGGAAUUGCUAGUAAACGCAGAUCAGCAUGCUGUGUUGAAUACGUUCCCGGGCCUUGUACACACCGCCCGUCACACCAUGAAAGCUGGAAAUAUCCGAAGUCAGUGAGCCAACCGCAAGGAGGCAGCUGCCUAAGAUAGAGCCAGUGAUUGGGGUGAAGUCGUAACAAGGUAGCCGUACCGGAAGGUGU
rnacentral:rRNA from 1 species